GUUGUCUAAAAAAAAACUAAUUUUGAGGAAAAUUCCCAAAGUGAGUAUUGAUUUCACAUAGAUCUUCUUCCUUCACUUCCAUCAUCUCUCUCAAUCUCAGACUGCAGUAAUGUACGUGUAGCUCUGCGUUUGGAUUCCGGUUGAUUUCAAUAAUUCUACUCUCCUGAAGGUGAUUAACCCUAUUCAAAUGGCUCGCCAUGGGCAUCUACCUUCAGUAUUUCUCCUGAUCUUCUCGUUAUGCUUGAUCCGAAGCGUUCACGUUCACUCUAAAACCCUGAAACGUGACGUGAAAGCUCUGAAUGAAAUUAAGGCAUCUCUUGGAUGGAGAGUGGUGUAUGCAUGGGUUGGAGAUGAUCCUUGUGGAGAUGGUGAUUUACCUCCAUGGUCUGGUGUUACAUGUUCAACGCAGGGUGAUUAUAGAGUAGUUACUGAAUUGGAAGUUUAUGCUGUUUCAAUUGUUGGCCCAUUUCCUACUGCUGUCACUAAUUUAUUAGAUCUUACUAGACUGGAUCUGCAUAAUAACAAGCUGACCGGCCCUCUUCCUUCUCAAAUUGGGCGUUUGAAGCGUCUUAAAAUAUUAAACGUAAGGUGGAAUAAGCUGCAAGAUGUCAUUCCACCUGAAAUAGGUGAACUAAAGCAGCUAACACAUCUCUACCUAAGUUUUAAUAAUUUCAAAGGCGAAAUACCUAAGGAGCUUGCUAAUCUUCCUGAGCUUCGUUAUCUCCAUCUGCAUGAAAAUCAUUUUAUUGGAAGAAUUCCACCUGAGCUGGGUUCCUUACAGUAUCUUCGACACCUGGAUGUUGGUAACAAUCGUUUGGUUGGAACUAUAAGAGAACUCAUACGUAUUGAAGGAUGUUUUCCAGUUCUCCGCAACCUAUACUUGAACAAUAAUUAUCUUACUGGAGGCAUUCCAGCGCAACUUGCUAAUCUGACGAACUUGGAGAUCUUGUAUCUAUCCUACAACAAGAUGACAGGAGUUAUACCAUAUAGCAUUGCUCAUAUUCCUAAGUUAACUUACUUGUAUCUCGAUCACAAUCAAUUUUCUGGGAGGAUUCCAGAUGCCUUCUACAAACACCCUUUCUUGAAGGAAAUGUACAUUGACGAGAACACAUUCCGGCCUGGUGUAAAACCAAUCGGCCUGCAUAAAGUGCUAGAACUUUCAGACGCAGAUUUCCUUGUUUAGAAAAAGCCAAGUACUGUUAUUUAUUCAUGAGCAAAGUGUACCUAGGUUGUCGAAUGAAGCAGCCGGUCCCUGUUCUGUCAAGUGUCUAUUCUUUAGUUGCCAGAUGAGAAAAAAGGUUCCAUCUUUUUGUGCAAAGAAGUAAUCAACCAAACUUAGUUACUGUUGCUGUAGUUAAAUAGUACCACGUUAUGAAUCAUGAAGUAAUUGCGACGUACGUCUUGAUCAGUUCUCACUUGCCUUGAAUUCUUG
rnacentral:misc_RNA from 1 species